UUAUGGUGUUAUGGUCAUUGUUGACCAUACAUAUAAUCCCUACAAUUGCUUUACAGCUUAUGCCGGAAUUAUACGACGGUCAACAGAGACUUUUGAAAUCAAAGA
rnacentral:pre_miRNA from 2 species